CGGUGAAAUGCGUAGAGAUCUGNAGGAAUACCGAUGGCGAAGGCAGCCAUCUGGCCUAACACUGACGUUGAGGUGCGAAAGCAUGGGGAGCAAACAGGAUUAGAUACCCUGGUAGUCCAUGCCGUAAACGAUGUCUACUAGCCGUUGGGGCCUUUGAGGCUUUAGUGGCGCAGCUAACGCGAUAAGUAGACCGCCUGGGGAGUACGGUCGCAAGACUAAAACUCAAAUGAAUUGACGGGGGCCCGCACAAGCGGUGGAGCAUGUGGUUUAAUUCGAUGCAACGCGAAGAACCUUACCUGGCCUUGACAUAGUAAGAACUUUCCAGAGAUGGAUUGGUGCCUUCGGGAACUUACAUACAGGUGCUGCAUGGCUGUCGUCAGCUCGUGUCGUGAGAUGUUGGGUUAAGUCCCGCAACGAGCGCAACCCUUUUCCUUAUUUGCCAGCGAGUAAUGUCGGGAACUUUAAGGAUACUGCCAGUGACAAACUGGAGGAAGGCGGGGACGACGUCAAGUCAUCAUGGCCCUUACGGCCAGGGCUACACACGUGCUACAAUGGUCGGUACAAAGGGUUGCUACCUAGCGAUAGGAUGCUAAUCUCAAAAAGCCGAUCGUAGUCCGGAUUGGAGUCUGCAA
rnacentral:rRNA from 1 species